ensembl:lncRNA
UCAUUAAGCAGCCUUUGUCAUCUGCUCUGCCAUGAAUAAUGAAGGGUAGCCAGGUCAAUGAACAGAAAGUAUUCAUGACAGAGCAGUUAGUGGUUCUGCUGAGGUAAUGGACUGGUACUGGUACUGCUGAGGUAAUGGACUCGUACUGGUACUGCUGAUGUAAUGGACUGGUACUGCUGAGGUAAUGGACUGGUACUGGUACUGCUGAGGUAAUGGACUGGUACUGCUGAGGUAAUGGACUGGUACUGCUGAGGUAAUAAACUGGUACUGGUACUGCUGAGGUAAUGGACUGGUACUGCUGAGGUAAUGGACUGGUACUGGUAGUGCUGAUGUAAUGGACUGGUACUGGUACUGCUGAGGUAAUGACUGGUACUGGUGAGGUAAUGGACUGGUACUGCUGAGGUAGUGGACUGGUACUGGUACUGCUGAGGUAGUGGACUGGUACUGCUGAGGUAAUGGACUGGUACUGCUGAGGUAAUGGACUGGUACUGCUGAGGUAAUGGACUGGUACUGCUGAGGUAAUGGACUAGUACUGCUGAGGUAAUGGACUGGUACUGCUGAGGUAGUGGACUGGUACUGCUGAGGUAAUGGACUGACUGGUACUGCUGAGGUAAUGGACUGACUGGUACUGCUGAGGUAAUGGACUGGUACUGCUGAGGUAGUGGACUGAUACUACUGAGGUAAUGGACUGAUACUACUGAGGUAAUGGACUGAUACUGCUGAGGUAAUGGACUGACUGGUACUGCUGAGGUAAUGGACUGGUACUGCUGAGGUAAUGGACUGGUACUGCUGAGGUAAUGGACUGACUGGUACUGCUGAGGUAAUGGACUGGUACUGGUACUGCUGAGGUAAUGGACUGGUACUGGUACUGCUGAGGUAGUGGACUGGUACUGCUGAGGUAAUGGACUGGUACUGCUGAGGUAAUGGACUGGUACUGGUACUGCUGAGGUAGUGGACUGGUACUGCUGAGGUAGUGGACUGGUACUGCUGAGGUAAUGGACUGGAAUUGGUACUGCUGAGGUAAUGGACUGGUACUGGUACUGCUGAGGUAGUGGACUGGUACUGCUGAGGUAGUGGACUGGUACUGCUGAGGUAGUGGACUGGUACUGCUGAGGUAGUGGACUGGUACUGCUGAGGUAAUGGACUGACUGGUACUGCUGAGGUAAUGGACUGACUGGUACUGCUGAGGUAAUGGACUGGUACUGCUGAGGUAGUGGACUGGUACUGGUACUGCUGAGGUAAUGGACUAGUACUGCUGAGGUAAUGGACUGACUGGUACUGCUGAGGUAAUGGACUGACUGGUACUGCUGAGGUAA